rnacentral:rRNA from 1 species
UUCUAAUAUUUAUAUUAGAAUUUUAUUUUUUAGUCAAAAAGCUAAAAUAAAUUUAAAAGACGAGAAGACCCUAUAAAUCUUUAUAUUUAUGUUAUUAUAAUUUUAUAGAUUUUUUAUAUUUUAAUAAUUUAUAAUAUUUUAUUGGGGUGAUAUUAAAAUUUAAUAAACUUUUAGUUUUUAAAAUCAUUAAUUUAUGAAUAAUUGAUCCGUUAUUAACGAUUAAAAAUUUAAGUUACCUUAGGGAUAACAG